UUUAUAUUCUUUCAUCAGCUAAGAAGAACUGGUAUUCAAGAAUCCACAGAAAAUUCGCUUUCUUCUAAACCAAGAGCACCAAGAACUACCUCCUUUCUUCACUUGAAUGAAACAAACAAUGUAGAACAUGAUGACAUUCCUGCUAAUUGUACCACCGUUUAUAACAGAGGCGAACAUACAAGUGGCAUCUAUUCCAUUAGACCCAGCAACUCGCAAGUUUUUAAUGUCUACUGUGAUGUUAAAUCAGAUAGGUCAUGGACAUUAAUUCAACACCGAACAGAUGGAUCACAAAACUUCAAUGAAACCUGGGAAAACUACAGAUAUGGUUUUGGGAGACUUGAUGG